rnacentral:rRNA from 1 species
UACGUAGGGACCAAGCGUUGUUCGGAUUUACUGGGCGUGAAGGGCGCGUAGGCGGCAACUCAAGUCAUCUGUGAAAUCUCCGGGCUUAACCCGGAACGGUCAGGUGAUACUGUUUUGCUAGAGUGCGGAAGGGGCAAUCGGAAUUCCCGGUGUAGCGGUGAAAUGCGUAGAUAUCGAGAGGAACACCAGAGGUGAAGACGGGUUGCUGGGCCGACACUGACGCUGACAGCGCGAAAGCCAGGGGAGCAAACGGG